rnacentral:rRNA from 1 species
CAAUAGCGUAUAUUAAAGUUGUUGCGGUUAAAAGCUCGUAGUUGGAUUUCUGUUGAGGACGACCGGUCCGCCCUCUGGGUGAGUAUCUGGCUCGGCCUUGGCAUCUUCUUGGAGAACGUAACUGCACUUGACUGUGUGGUGCGGUAUCCAGGACUUUUACUUUGAAAAAUUAGAGUGUUCAAAGCGGGCUUACGCUUGAAUAUUUCAGCAUGGAAUAACACUAUAGGACUCCUGUCCUAUUUCGUUGGUCUCGGGACGGGAGUAAUGAUUAAGAGGAACAGUUGGGGCGAUUCGUAUUUCAUUGUCAGAGGUGAAAUUCUUGGAUUUAUGAAAGACGAACUUCUGCGAAAGCAUUUGCCAAGGAUGUUUUCAUUAAUCAAGAACGAAAGUUGGGGCGUCGAAGAUGAUCAGAUACCA